rnacentral:rRNA from 1 species
ACCAGUGAGCGGCGGACGGGUGAGUAACACGUGGGCAACCUGCCCUGAAGCGGGGGAUAACAUUUGGAAGCAGGUGCUAAUACCGCAUAACAACGAAAACCACAUGGUUUUCGUUUCAAAGAUGGUUUCGGCUAUCACUUCAGGAUGGGCCCGCGGUGCAUUAGCUUGUUGGUAGGGUAACGGCCUACCAAGGCAAUGAUGCAUAGCCGAGUUGAGAGACUGAUCGGCCACAAUGGAACUGAGACACGGUCCAUACUCCUACGGGAGGCAGCAGUAGGGAAUCUUCCACAAUGGGCGCAAGCCUGAUGGAGCGACACCGCGUGAGUGAAGAAGGGUUUCGGCUCGUAAAGCUCUGUUGUUGAAGAAGAACGUGCGUGAGAGUAACUGUUCACGCAGUGACGGUAUUCAACCAGAAAGUCACGGCUAACUACGUGCCAGCAGCCGCGGUAAUACGUAGGUGGCAAGCGUUAUCCGGAUUUAUUGGGCGUAAAGCGAGCGCAGGCGGUUGCUUAAGUCUGAUGUGAAAGCCUUCGGCUUAACCGAAGAAGUGCAUCGGAAACUGAGCGACUUGAGUGCAGAAGAGGACAGUGGAACUCCAUGUGUAGCGGUGGAAUGCGUAGAUAUAUGGAAGAACACCAGUGGCGAAGGCGGCUGUCUGGUCUGCAACUGACGCUGAGGCUCGAAAGCAUGGUGUAGCGAACAGGAUUAGAUACCCUGGUAGUCCAUGCCGUAAACGAUGAGUGCUAGGUGUUGGAGGGUUUCCGCCCUUCAGUGC